ACACUCCUGCGGGAGGCAGCAGUGGGGAAUAUUGCACAAUGGGCGCAAGCCUGAUGCAGCCAUGCCGCGUGUAUGAAGAAGGCCUUCGGGUUGUAAAGUACUUUCAGCGGGGAGGAAGGCGAUAAGGUUAAUAACCUUGUUGAUUGACGUUACCCGCAGAAGAAGCACCGGCUAACUCCGUGCCAGCAGCCGCGGUAAUACGGAGGGUGCAAGCGUUAAUCGGAAUUACUGGGCGUAAAGCGCACGCAGGCGGUCUGUCAAGUCGGAUGUGAAAUCCCCGGGCUCAACCUGGGAACUGCAUUCGAAACUGGCAGGCUAGAGGCUUGUAGAGGGGGGUAGAAUUCCAGGUGUAGCGGUGAAAUGCGUAGAGAUCUGGAGGAAUACCGGUGGCGAAGGCGGCCCCCUGGACAAAGACUGACGCUCAGGUGCGAAAGCGUGGGGAGCAAACAGGAUUAGAAACCCCGGUAGUCCCAUGAU
rnacentral:rRNA from 1 species